CAUGGUAAGCAUUUUCAUCAUGGCUUUUUUGUUUUGUUGCUUUUGUUCUUUCGUUUAUCAGGUUUGUUGUUUUAACUUUAGGCGUCUGUGGUACUGAGGGUGUUCAUCUUCUGCCUGCUUCAUCUGUGUAUUCAAUGUGAUCAGAUGCCAGUGAAUACCAAUGUUCUUGCUAAAAUUAUCCAGUAUUUUGAUGACAAGUUACAGCCAACCAACCAUGACAGGCCUAAUCAGUAUUCUGUAGUCAUCAGGGUCCCAUAUCAACAGUGUACAGAACAUUUCAGUCUUGAUUGGGUUUUCAGCAUGGACGAAAUGGAAAAUGCCUUCAGUGAUUUCAAGACUAAUAGUAAGCGAAGGUUUUGUGAAGUCAUUCAAGACUCAAUCAGUCUCAGAGCUGCGAAGCCGAGUUGGAUCCAAAUGACCAGUUCUUCUGGAGAAACAAUGCAUUCUGAAUAUGUUCUUGUUUAUCCUAUAGAUGCCACAAAAACAUCUCCCCUGGACAAAAUUUUGAGAAUGCCAAAUGAUGAUCAAUGUGUUGUUUUGUAUACUUACAAUUCACCUUGCAUAGAAAAAUGCAUUAAUAAUAAAGAUGACACUAUUUUGUAUGGCCUUUCAAACUGGCUAAAAACACAGAAAACUGGGAUUAAAGCUUUCAUUUUCCAAGAGAUUUGGCGCAGAAACUCGACUGGUGUGCCAGCGGAUCAGCAACAGCAGUUUACAAAGAUUAAUAAUCUAGUGCCUCUCUAUCGUUGUGUGAAGGAAAAUAAUCAAAUGAAAUGUUAUAAGUGUGGAGAUGCUGGCAGUGAGAUGUUACAUGAAAAUUGUGUUUCCUAAAAAGCAUUUUAUAUCAAUAAUCAUACUGCAGUAUGUUAAUAAAUGAUUUUCAAAUCAC